GAGUUGAUCAUGGCUCAGGACGAACGCUGGCGGCGUGCUUAACACAUGCAAGUCGAACGAUGACGAUGGUGCUUGCACCGUCUGAUUAGUGGCGAACGGGUGAGUAACACGUGAGUAACCUGCCCUCCUCUUCGGGAUAACCGCCGGAAACGGUGGCUAAUACCGGAUAUGAAUGCCUGCCGCAUGGUGGGUGUUGGAAAGAUUUAUCGGUGGGGGAUGGACUCGCGGCCUAUCAGUUUGUUGGUGAGGUAAUGGCUCACCAAGGCGAUGACGGGUAGCCGGCCUGAGAGGGCGACCGGCCACACUGGGACUGAGACACGGCCCAGACUCCUACGGGAGGCAGCAGUGGGGAAUAUUGCACAAUGGGCGAAAGCCUGAUGCAAGCGACGCCGCGUGGGGAUGACGGCCUUCGGGUUGUAAACCUCUUUCAGCAGGGAAGAAGCGAGAGUGACGGUACCUGCAGAAGAAGCGCCGGCUAACUACGUGCCAGCAGCAGC
rnacentral:rRNA from 1 species